UGGGGAAUAUUGGACAGUGGGCGAAAGCCUGAUCCAGCAAUGCCGCGUGAGUGAUGAAGGCCUUAGGGUUGUAAAGCUCUUUUACCCGGGAUGAUAAUGACAGUACCGGGAGAAUAAGCUCCGGCUAACUCCGUG
rnacentral:rRNA from 1 species